GACGAACGCUGGCGGCGUGCUUAACACAUGCAAGUCGAACGGAAAGUCCCUGCUUUUGUGGGGUGCUCGAGUGGCGAACGGGUGAGUAACACUUGAGUAACCUGCCCUUGACUUUGGGAUAACUUCAGGAAACUGGGUCUAAUACCGGAUAGGAGCUCCUGCUGCAUGGUGGGGGUUGGAUAGUUUCGGCGGUUGGGGAUGGACUCGCGGCUUAUCAGCUUGUUGGUGGGGUAGUGGCUUACCAAGGCUUUGACGGGUAGCAGGCCUGAGAGGGUGACCGGCCACAUUGGGACUGAGAUACGGCACAGACUACUACGGGAGGCAGCAGUGGGGAAUAUUGCACAAUGGGCGGAAGCCUGAUGCAGCAAAGCCGCGUGCGGGAUGACGGCCUUCGGGUUGUAAACCGCUUUCGCCUGUGACGAAGCGUGAGUGACGGUAAUGGGUAAAGAAGCACCGGCUAACUACGUG
rnacentral:rRNA from 1 species